UUUUUUUCCGUCAUCGGUUCUGAAUUUUUGGUCAACGAUUCCCGGGACACCGUAACACCGGGGCACAUGAAACUUGGUGGGCAUGUAGCCCCAGUAGACUUUUACGGAAAAAUUUCGUUUCGUCCCCGGGGGUCACUCCCCCCCCGCGCUGGCCCCGCCCGAAGCCCAAAAAUUGCAGUUUUUCCUACAUAACUACCUGAACCGUGGCACCGAGGAUGACACAUUUUUUAUGGUAUGUUGGUCUCAAGAGCUCGGAUCAACUUAGCUUAUAACCAGUCAUUUGUGAAUUGCACCCCCAUGGUAAAAAUUGAAAAUGUAAUGUAAUAUUGCUUUAAUUGCCCCUAUCUUCAGAUGAGAUGCUAUGAACUGCACCAAAUUUCAUGUGUAUGAUUAACCUGACACCCUCUGGGAGUAUGCCAAGUUUUGUGGACUUUCAUCCAUGGGGGGCUAUAAUAAAUGUAUUUAUGUGUGCAUUUAGUGAAUGGUCCCUCAACGUGGCUGCUCUACACUGAAGCCUAGAAUGGCCCCAUGGCCCCAUGUAGCUGUGUCACUGGCACCCCCGUGGCUACCCUGUGCUUACCAAAUAAAACAAUUAUGUAUUUAUUACGAUUUUAUAUGAGAACGUCAAAAGCAGAACUAAUGCAACCACGUUCAAACACUGCAGCCUGCUGCCACUGGUGUGUGGCGCUGGCGCUGCUCAGUGAAUGAUAGAUCAGACCAGAGAGAAGAAGACAAACGAAGAAGAUGGAGUUGUGAUUUCUCAGUUCCGAAUGGCGGCCAUAUUGGAAUUUUCUUUACUGUCGCUAGUUUCACACUACUUGAUUUCUCAUGUUGCAGUAAGCUAAACGAUUUCAUCUCUUACGUGACUUGUUGUUCUUGCAGGUAACUGUGUAACCGUCUGACUGAUAAAGAAGUUGUUAAAUGUCUUUACGUUUAGAAACAUAAUCAAAAAAAAUUCAUCCAAGCAGAUGCGAAUAGCCUACAAUGUCAGUACUCAAACCACCAGUAGCAGGCUUAGGACUAGAGUUUGCCAGUCAGACCACUACACCUUUGCCAGCACCACCACCCAGCAAGCUUCAUCAACUCCAGCCAUGCCGAGUUUACCAAUCAGACCUACACCUCUGUCAAAUUCGCUCACAACGCUGCCAGUAACACCCCAGCAAGGUAGAACUGCAUUUUCAUUAAUCUGGCACCAAUAUCAAGGGAGAAACAAGCCAUGAAUGUCUGUCACAACUUCUUUGCAUCUUUACUUUCCUUACAUCUGAAGAGUGUGUUACAUAUAUCAUUAUUAAAAAUAAUUUUAAUAAAUUGUUUAAGCAUGUACAAUAAAUAAAGCAUGUAAAUGAGCAUGUAAAAUAAAUAAACAAAAGCAAGUAAAAUAAAUAAAUAAACAAAAUGUAUUGAACCUAAUAGGCUACUAUGUGUGGUGAGUCUGUGUGAUAGUUGCUGAGGAUAAAUGUUUUUAUAUUGGAUUAUUAAAUUACAGAAUACAUUUAUAGGUUUCUCAUCAGCAGGCACUGUCUUCACCUUAGUAAAUUUGGUAACUUUGGUAAGUCCUGUAAAUAAUUGUAAAUUGUUCUGAUUGAGGGCAAAUGGAAAGUGUUAUAAUGUAUUAUUGCUAUUUUAGUGCAUCAUUUUCAUUAUUAUGGCCAUAAAUAAGGCCAAUUAGAAGCUGGUGGGUAGUAAGCGGCAAAAGGGUGGCCCUUUAUCUGGAGCCGCUUCUGAGCCGCCGCUGGACAGCCAGAGAACUGAUGAGCAAAACUCCAGCGGGCCACUGGUGGUUACCGCCGUUGGACCGCCAACUCUGCCGCUGGUUUGUAACAGUAACUUUAGCAUUGCCCAUUAAAUGAUUGCAAAAUAUUUAUUGAGGUGAGUUUAACAAGUGUAAUUUCAUUGGCAUAUAAUUCAGGCCUAUAGUAGAUGGCUAAAUGGCUACAGUAGAAGGAUACACGAAAAGCCCAAACUACCAAAAUCUUCAUAUUUUAUUACCACAGUUUCUAUCUAUAGGCCUCUCUUAUUUGGUAUACUGACUAGACAUUAUUGAACAAACAUAGGCUAUUCAUCUGUAUUUCAGUAUCUCAGUAGCCUAGGUUAAAGUAUUUUUUAGAUACCUCCCUGAAAUUACUUUUUGCAGGUUGUGUUCUAUAUCUGUCUUCUAUACGUUCUGACGUUACUGUUAAAAUGGCGUAACUGUUAAAUUCCAAUAUAGUGAGUAGGCUAUUGGCAAAACCGAUUGGCAUUUUUAUGUUGAGCCGGCAGGGGGCUCAGUUUAAAAAGUAACUAAGUUCGCACACACACAUCAACAGAUUCACACGCACAGAUAAACACACUUCCACGGAUUCCACACACACACACACACACAUGCGCACACAUGCACAUUCACACACACAGACAGACACACACACAUCUUUAUACAAGCAAACUCACACAUGCACACACUCAUGUACACAUGAGCUGCAAGAGUAGGAGAAAUACAUACAGUAUAUUGCACAAAUCGGAGAUAAGGCAGGUUUAGACUUGCUGCAGACAACGCGUUCGUGUUCGUAUCAUGACUGCCUCGCGUAUUUUGCGGUCGUUUGGUGCGUCGGUCGUGCACGUCGUCGCAAGCGAACAUGACGCGUCCGCGAGAUGCAAUACUGAUAAGAAAGUAGGGGGCGAUCACUACAAAAAAAGGUGACUGCAAGAUGCAUUAUCGACAUCGAAGCUGGGGGCAAUCAUGAGAGUAAACAAUGGCACAUGGCCACAUCCACAUCUGAUGUUACUAUUCUCCCCCUAGUGAAGACCUCCAGUAGGGUGCGUAAUGCUGCAGCGAGUCUGUACACCGGACACAGCAGGUCGCACACGGGCGCAUAUGCUUACGGUUGGUCUAACAGCAAGUAUAAUCCCAGCCAUACAGGAAAGUUGACGAGCGUAAUUCGUUUUGGAGAGAAUGUGCAGAACUGA